UUCCGGUUGAUCCUGCCGGACCUGACUGCUAUCGGAUUGAUACUAAGCCAUGCGAGUCAUUGUAGCAAUACAAGGCAUACGGCUCAGUAACGCGUAGUCAACCUAACCUAUGGACGGGAAUAACCUCGGGAAACUGAGAAUAAUGCCCGAUAGAACAUUAUGCCUGGAAUGGUUUAUGUUCCAAAUGAUUUAUCGCCGUAGGAUGGGGCUGCGGCCUAUCAGUUUGUUGGUGAGGUAAUGGCCCACCAAGACUAUUACAGGUACGGGCUCUGAGAGGAGUAGCCCGGAGAUGGGUACUGAGACACGGACCCAGGCCCUAUGGGGCGCAGCAGGCGAGAAAACUUUGCAAUGUGCGAAAGCACGACAAGGUUAAUCCGAGUGGUUCCUGCUAAAGGAACCUUUUGUUAGUCCUAGAACCACUAACGAAUAAGGGGUGGGCAAGUCUGGUGUCAGCCGCCGCGGUAAAACCAGCACCUCAAGUGGUCAGGAUGAUUAUUGGGCCUAAAGCAUCCGUAGCCUGCUCUGUAAGUUUUCGGUUAAAUCUGUACGCUUAACGUACAGGCUGCCGGGAAUACUGCAAAGCUAGGGAGUGGGAGAGGUAGACGGUACUCGGUAGGAAGUGGUAAAAUGCUUUGAUCUAUCGAUGACCACCUGUGGCGAAGGCGGUCUACCANAACACGUCCGACGGUGAGGGAUGAAAGCUGGGGGAGCAAACCGGAUUAGAUACCCGGGUAGUCCCAGUUGUAAACUAUGCAAACUCAGUGAUGCAUUGGCUUGUGGCCAAUGCAGUGCUGCAGGGAAGCCGUUAAGUUUGCCGCCUGGGAAGUACGUACGCAAGUAUGAAACUUAAAGGAAUUGGCGGGGGAGCACCACAAGGGGUGAAGCCUGCGGUUCAAUUG
rnacentral:rRNA from 1 species